UCUGAUGACGUCACGUGAACGUUUACGCACACGCAAAGCUUUGGAAACCCCGCAAAUGUUUGAGCGAGUCCGACAACCACGGCGAGCAAAAGAGUGGCGCGGUCUAUGGAGGUGUCGGGUUUUGAACGUGGCUUUGCCCCCAGACGGAUGACAGGUCCAUCCCCACCACAGAGCUGGCCUUCCUCACCAGCUUGUUCAGUUUGGUGGUGCCACAGCUCCCCAGAGGAAUUCUUACCAAGAGCCCAAAUCACAUCAGCUGACUGUUCUCAGAGUAAAGGAGAAGCAUCUCAAUAACAAGGUCCUCCAAAAUCUCUCACCUCCCCAUGCUGUCACGUGGAGUAAUAACAGGUGCAUCAUCUCAGCUGACAGUACCUCUGAGUCAAUACCAAGAGAUUCUGACUGCAGGUGAGAGCAGGUACUCAGAUUGACUGUCAAACAGAGUUUUUCUUUGUAGCUUAGCUCUGUCUUUAUUAUUUCCAGUCUGAUAUAAAGCCUGCAUUGCAGCAACCACUGCCCCCUAAACGCAGGUCAAUCUUACAAUCCUUUUUACCAUCACUCAUGAGUAAAGGUACCUGAAUUCUUCCACUUGGAUGCUACCCCUCCCUAACCUCAACUCAGCAAUCCACCAACCCGACCACAUCACACUCAACUGCAAACCGCUCCAGUAGACUUUGCUGGUCAUGAUCCAAUGGAGCCAAAAGGACAACAUCAUCCACAAACAGAAGCAAUGCCACCCUAAUAGCAUCCAACUGGACACUUUCCAGGCCUCAGCUGUGCUUUGAUAUCCUGUUCACGAAUAUGAAAGGAGAGGUGAAAGAGCACAAUUUUUUUUCCCCAGAGUGCUGCAAAUCAACUUCCCAAACAUAAUGCUUUGGUAAUGCAGUUGCAGCCAUAAUUUAAUCAUUACAUUCCACCGAGUAUCUCAACAACUGUAGAAUAGAUGGAAAUGGCCUAAUGUGCAGAAGAAGAACUAAUGACUGUUCAUCCCCAGACUUUUCCUCUAGUGUCACCAGCUAGUCAUGCUAGAACGGUCACGGUGUGCAUGUCAGCAUGAUAUAUGUUGUCUUGUCUUUUCUCUCCCUUUGGUUCGAUCCUCACUCGGGUCUAGAAGUCCUUGGAUUCAUGGUUAUUGUGUCAGUGACCCAACACUUAAUAGACUGACAAUCUCCCUUUGACAACUGCCUUCAAUCUUGCAGUUCAGGCUGUUGUAUAUACCAAACAAGCACAAGGACCUGCUGGUAACAUGCAAGCAUUCAGCCUUGGUUUGCAAGUGACAGACUUUAGUGUAGGAGUGAGAUGGAAAAGUACCACAUAUCAUGUGCCUGUGAGGCAAUCUCAACACCAUCUGCGUGUCCAUCAUAUUACCCCAACCCUGUCCCAGUAGUGUUCAGAAAAUGAUGGUCAUGUAAUCAAAAAUGUCUCUGUCAGGGCCAAUGCAAAAGUGCUCAGGUUUGGUCUGACAUGAAAGCUUUAUAAAGGUGGACAUAAAUACACACAUUAAGUAUAGACUGACAUUAAGUUGACAAUGAGAAGACCAAACUCAAAGUAUCACAAAUCAUUUCACCAAACCUUUACUGGCUUUUCACACAAUUAUUAUUCUUGUUGCACAGUGAAAAACCACAUGAUAUACAACUUACUGCCAAAGCAUAAAAGAUCUGAAUACAACACAACUGCACAUCAACAUCAAAAAUCAAUACUCGUGGUUCUCGUUCAAGGUUUUGAAUUCAUUAACCUUGGCAAUAGCAACAUGUAAGAUUAAAUACACAGUGUGAAACGUUCCUGCUCUGUUUUAAUUGACCGUGGUGUUCAAGGAACAUCCUGAGGCAAGAAAUGUUAAAUUUAGCAACACCAGGCAAAUCUGUCUGGUCCAAGGGGACACCUCGGAGGCUGAAGUCAACAUACUUAACCUGCGCAUUUGCUCGUCCAUCUCUGAAAGUGAUAGGAUUAAUGUAGUAAAUACUUUUAACUGGCAGAUUUUUAGUUUAGCAAAAACUAAUGCUACAUCUCCAAUAAGUCAUGAAGGUUAUAAUGUUCCAUUUUUAUUGAAACUAUCAGAGAGGUGGUUAUUCAAAUGUAUGAUAAUUGUGUAGGCUUAUUCCAGAGAGGUGUGUUAUUUAGCCUAUAUAUGUACAUUGAUAUAAAUAGGGUAGACAAAAUAAUGGAAAACGGCUAUCCAUGCAAUGGAAGAUAAUUCAACAGCACCGUAAACUGCAGUUUUUAAAAUGACAAUACAGUUGAAUCAUCUUCCUAAAAUGUUUUAACAUUACAACCUUCACGACUGAUGUAUUAGACUGCAUUAAUUGUAGCUAGGUGUACCUAAAAAACUUGCCUAGGAUUGUUUUUUUGUCUUUAUGUACUUGAUGCAAUGAUUCAAAAGGAGAAUACAGAUUUUUAAAUUCUGAAAAAGCUAAAUACCUAGGUCACAGUCUUAUGCAGAGAAAACAUUGAAAUAGAGAUAGUUUGCAUAGAUAUGAUGAACAACAAUCGAUUCAAAAAGAGAGAAUGAAAAACCCACCAUCAGAAACUCAUGUGAAUGUAUAAAGCCUGUUGAAAGACUACUAGGCUUUAGAAAACAGACUUCAAAACAAGUUGAACAAAGUUUUACGACAAAAUGACGACGUGCCAUCAGAAAAUACGUGAGUUUCCUGAAUACAACCAUAUACAGCUAAGCUGAGAUGUGUAAAAAAAAAUAUCUAAAAAAAUAUUUUGUAUUGUUUGUAAUGUUUGUAUUCAUUUUUGCUUCAAGGAGAUUCACAUGUUGGUUGGUUGUCAAAAAUGUAGGAACACAGCACUUCCCCUUAUUCUGACCAGCAGAGGUCCCUAUCAAGCUCUGAUUUUGAAAGCCUGGAGGACUGAACCUUGGUACGAAAAGCUUCACUUAGCCAUCGCAGGCUGUACCAACUUAAAUGAAACCUUUGUGACAGUUUGGUUUUAUUAUCAUAAAUAAACUUUCAAACAGUAGCAUUUAUGAUGUUAACCUAUAAACUGUAGUUUCAGGUUUUGUUGAACACAACGUGUGAUCUGGGAAGUGAUAGAAAUUUUACUCUAUUUCUGUCUGACACUGACAACAUUGAUUACAUUUUUUAGUGUGUGAGCUGACACUGAAGCAAAAAGCAGUAUAACGUGUCCACAUCUUAACAAAAUCACAGUUCAACCACAUAAAGUAUUAAUGACCUUCAGCACUGCAUUAAUUUAAUUUCAUUGCUGAUUAGAGAACUGUGCUGAUUAGUAACCCAUUUGAUGGAUGACAGGAAAUGCCUCCAUUUUCAUCAGUAUUGCCAGACUCCCUGGACGUACUUUCCUGCUUUGCUGGUAUUGAUUAUCUCUCUGUGGCUCUUAUCAAGAUUGCAGUGUUACACGGUGAUUCAUUGGCUCGCAAUGGAGUAGGCAGUGACAUUAAUCACCCUUCACAUAUCAAUAGAAGAGAUGUGCUCACUGCAUUGGCUUGAUGUACAGUAACUUCAUUAUAGUUCAAAAUGACUAUAGAUUAGAGUUUAUAGUUCGACCAUGUGGCUGAUUCAAAAUCAGAGUCACUGAGAAAUAUUUUAUGAUGAGGAAUUUUUAAGCUAAAAACUGGCAAUAAAUUAUAUCCAUUAUUGUAGUAUAGGUCCCUUAUUUUAAAUAUAAUAAUAUAUAAUGUAAUAAACGUUUAAAAACAGUGCAUAAAUGGACUUCAUGGCAUGCAGUAUAAUUCUGUCAGCUUCAACUGCACAUCAUUUUAAACUAUCUGUCCUGUGUGUUAAAGCCCAUUGAGCCUCUAACCCAGGUUCAUUGCAUUGAGCCUCCCUCGGGCACAUAUCUUGUAAAAAAGUAAGCUGCCUUCAGUGAUUCUUCGGUGAACCGGAAAAGAUUUCUACAUAUUGCCAUGUCAGUGCGUGUUUUGUCCAUUUUGGAAUGCAGAAAGAAGUCUUUGUAUUUGGUACGAAAUAAUUCCGAUAGUAAAAGAUAUUUUGGUAAUAACUUCUGUCAUAUCCAACUGUCUGUCACAUACUUGAUAGCUUUUUAAUUGAAAAAUAAAAGAAGAAAAAAUCCUAUAAAAUAUGGGGAAAUCAUGUCAAAACUGGUUGUUGAAAUGUUCACAGUUGUCAAUCACUGCUUACAAUGUGAUGGGGAAUGGUGACAUUAGGGACUAAAGCAAGUCCAGAUUUUAAAAAACAGCAGGUUACAUAAAAUACACAGAUGAUUCUAUUCAUAUUAAACUCAUUCUUAUCUUUUGGAAAUUUUUAAUCAGCAUAACUGUAUAAGCUGUCCUUGCAGGGCUAUGAUGAGUGCAGUAAUUAGUUAAUUGAAUGCAGUAUAUACUGGGGCGACUGUACAGUUCAGCGCAGCAAAACCUCUGCUGUGCUGACUCAGUAUUUGAGCUUCCUCUAGAAGUUACAUAAUGUUAAAAGGCAAGCUAAAUUAAGGUGUUUUCCGAAAUUAAAUGGCUGCAAGUUUUCAGUGGUGGGCAGUAAAUGCGCUUCAUAAAAAAAUAGUCGAAGGGGCCGAGGCAACGUCUAAAUCUAAAAAUGCUUCCAAAUAGAGACAACAUAUGGAACUUGUUUAAUGCACUGUGAGUUUACCUUAUGAAUGUAUGACGUGUAGAGUGACAAAGAGAGCGUGCAAACUUAAUGCUCUUAUUGUGUUUAAAUCUGUUUGCUCAGGAAAGAGCUGUUUCCAAUGCUGAUGUUGUUUUUCGGCAAACAUGGUGUGGUUUGAAUCCCCACUCUGGACAAAGCACACUUUACUCAUGCUGCAGAUGACACCGCCGGCCCACAUCUGAACAAACAACGAGUACGGGAGCGAGCGCUGCGUGACAGCUGCACAAAAUCUACCAGCAACAGGCGUAAUCAAACACAACGCCAGCAUCAUUCAGUGACUGUGGUCAUAAAAGUACAAUUAUACAAAGACAGGUGCACCAGCAUGAUCCCUAUACCAGACAUGCUCACACGUCCUGAAGAUGCAGCCACACAGAGCUGUGUCUGUAAAUACCACUCGACCGGGUUCCUAAACAGCCAGGCGUAUACACGGCAGACAGAGCCUUUCACUCGGCAAACAAGGCUAAAACCAGGAACUCUCACUCUAUGACCAGUCUCCACACUGUUGUCAUAUUCAGGAGCUGUGGCGCUUUUGAUAUAUACUGGAGAACGCUGUGUUCACAACCAGCUAAGCCCCUUCUUGUUACAGUCAUCCAUUAUCACACCACCAACUCACUGGCAGCUGCUACACAGCUCAACUGGUUCCUCGUUAAGCUCAUUCAGUUACUGGGGAGAAAACAAGCCCUAAGCCUUUGUACGGUAAAAGGUUUGGACACUGGAACAAUAAAAUCAAUGAGACAAUUUGCAUUAAUUUGGUCCAAAAAUAAUAAAAUCAAUCCUGUCAAUUCCAUUCCAUUGCACAAUUCACACUAACAAAUUAAGAUUCCUUAAGUGUGUCUGUCUUUUGUCUAUUUUUGAUUGAUUUUCAAAAAAAUUUAAUGGACAUUCAGACUUGUUUGCAGUCAUGAAUGAUCUGGUGCUUUUCUGGGAGUUUUAUGGUCAUUUUAUUGUUUCAUUGUUUGUGUUGAUUGUUUGUUGACCAUUGUAUAUUUGUCUUCGUCCUGUCCAGAGACAAGCAUUUAAAACUGUAGCUGAGGUUCGUGCUGAAUACUUGUCCGUAUAAAAGAAAAAUACUGUAUAGAAGAUUAAAUCAAUAAUUGAGGAUUCAA